rnacentral:tRNA from 1 species
GGGGCCGUAGCUCAAUUGGUUAGAGCAUCGGACUGUCGAUCCGAAGGCUGUGGGUUCGAGUCCCAUCGGCCUCG